GCGAAAAGCAAAAAUAAAUAGAAAAAAGGCACAACAUAUCAGCUUGUCAGCACUUUCAAAAGUGUAAACCGGAUACAUAUUUUACUUUUCCAUUUUCUGUUUACUUUUUUUUUUUCUUCUU
rnacentral:ribozyme from 13 species